rnacentral:misc_RNA from 1 species
GAUGAAGAACGCAGCGAAAUGCGAUAAGUAAUGUGAAUUGCAGAAUUCAGUGAAUCAUCGAAUCUUUGAACGCACCUUGCGCCCUUUGGCCAUUCCGAAGGGCAUGCCUGUUUGAGUAUCAUGAACACCUCAACUCUUCAUGGUUUUCCAUGAUGAGCUUGGACUUUGGGGGUCUUGCUGGCCUGUGGGUCGGCUCCUCUCAAAUGAAUCAGCUUGCCGGUUUUUGGUAGGCAUCACAGGUGUGAUAACUAUCUACGCUUGUGGUUUUCCACCAGGGUAACCUUCAGCAGUGGAGGUUCACUGGAGCUUACAAAUGUCUCUCCUCUGUGAGGACAGCCCUUUGAAUGUUUGAUCUCAAAACAGGUAGGACUACCCGCUGAACUUAAGCAUAUCAAUAAGCGGAGGA